rnacentral:rRNA from 1 species
AUUGAACGCUGGCGGCAUGCUUUACACAUGCAAGUCGAACGGUAACAGGCCGCAAGGUGCUGACGAGUGGCGAACGGGUGAGUAACGCAUCGGAACGUGCCCAGUCGUGGGGGAUAACGCAGCGAAAGCUGCGCUAAUACCGCAUACGAUCUAUGGAUGAAAGCGGGGGACCGUAAGGCCUCGCGCGAUUGGAGCGGCCGAUGUCAGAUUAGGUAGUUGGUGAGGUAAAGGCUCACCAAGCCGACGAUCUGUAGCUGGUCUGAGAGGACGACCAGCCACACUGGGACUGAGACACGGCCCAGACUCCUACGGGAGGCAGCAGUGGGGAAUUUUGGACAAUGGGGGCAACCCUGAUCCAGCAAUGCCGCGUGCAGGAAGAAGGCCUUCGGGUUGUAAACUGCUUUUGUACGGAACGAAACGGCUCUGGUUAAUACCUGGGGCUAAUGACGGUGCCGUAAGAAUAAGCACCGGCUAACUACGUGCCAGCAGCCCGCCGUAAUAC